ensembl:lncRNA novel transcript
GGCCCUGCGCUUUCUUCUCGCCCAUCCGUUUCUAUGCCCCUUCGGACGUGCUCAGUGCAGCCCUUCCCUAUGGCUGGGACUUAAGGCCCACGGGCCUGGCAGUUCUCUGGCGUCUUUCGAUCCCGUGUGGGAUUCUCUCUCCUGAGUGUCUGAAACGAUCAGUUCACUGCCUGACGUGAAAACACCUAGUCCCUGUUUUUCAGAUUAACUCUUAAGUACUCCACGGCUACAUGCUCCUGAAGCUGUUAUAGGCCCAGCCUCAGAUCUGUGCAGGGCGGAUGCACAAGAGCAGAAUCUCCGUGGACAUCUUUCUGGAGCAUCAAUUUUACUGCAAGAUUUUGAAGAAACACAUUUAAUUGAUUUUCAAGGUGAGAAAUUAAACCUCGAAAACUAGAC